AUGUACUGCUUCGGCAGUACAUAUAUACUAAAAUUGGAACGAUGCAGAGAAGAUUAGCAUGACUCCUGCGCAAGGGUGACGCAAAUACGUGAAGCGUUCCAUAUAUUA